UCUUCAUAGAUAGAUAGCUUGUUUUAUGCUGUAGAUAUGACCACAAAACAUUUCCCACUUGGUUUUCUAUCUGUUACCUUGCUCUCAGCCAGCCUAUUGGGAACAUUU
rnacentral:snoRNA from 1 species